CCUACGGGUGGCAGCAGUGAGGAAUAUUGGUCAAUGGCCGGAAGGCUGAACCAGCCAAGUCGCGUGAGGGAAUAAGGCCCUAUGGGUCGUAAACCUCUUUUGUCAGGGAGCAAAGGCGUCCACGAGUGGACGAAAGGAGAGUACCUGAAGAAAAAGCAUCGGCUAACUCCGUGCCAGCAGCCGCGGUACUACGGGGGAUGCGAGCGUUAACCGGGUUUAUUGGGUAUAAGGGGGGCGUGGGCGGAGUGUCAGUUCAGCGGAAAAUUUUCGGGGCACAACCACGACGUGCCGGUGAAACGGACGCCCUUGGGUGAGUGAGAAGUAAGCGGAAUGGGUGGUGUAGCGGUGAAAUGCAUAGAUAUC
rnacentral:rRNA from 1 species